rnacentral:lncRNA from 1 species
GCCAAUGACCGGUCCUGGGCCAAUGUCCGGUCUUGGGUCAAUGUCCGGUCUUGGGUCAACGAUGACCGAUCUUGGGUCAAUGGUGACUGGUCUUGACCCAACAAUGGCCGGUCUUGACCCAACAAUGGCCGGUCUUGACCCAACAAUGGCCGGUCCUGGGUCAAUGUCCGGUCUUGGGUCAAUGUCCAGUCUUGGGUCAAUGUCCGGUCUUGGGUCAACGAUGACCGGUCUUGACCCAACGAUGGCGGGUCCUGCGCCAGUGUCCGGUCCUGGUUCAAUGCCCGGUCCUGGGCCAAUGUCCGGUCCUGGGCCAAUGACCGGUCCUGGGCCAAUGUCCGGUCUUGGGUCAACGAUGACCGGUCUUGGGUCAACGAUGACCGGUCUUGGGUCAAUGGUGACUGGUCUUGACCCAACAAUGGCCGGUCUUGACCCAUCAAUGACCGGUCUUGACCCAACGAUGACCGGUGUUGGGUCAAUGUCCGGCCUUGACCCCUUGGGGUCAUCUCAAGGGACAACGGCGACGUCCCUUGGGCCGUUGACCUUUCUUGACCCAAUGAUGUCCGGUCUUGACCCAACGGUGACCGGUCCUGGGCCAAUGUCCGGUCCCGGGCCAAUGUCCGGUCUUGGGUCAACGGUGACCGGUCCUGGGUCAAUGACCACUCUUGGGUCAAUGGUGACCGGUCCUGGGUCAAUGUCCGGUCUUGACCCAACAAUGGCCGGUCUUGGGUCAAUGUCCGGUCUUGACCCCUUGGGGUCAUCUCAAGGGACAACGGCGACAUCGCUUGGGCCGUUGACCACUCUUGACCCAACGAUGUCCGGUCUUGGAUCAAUGACCGCUCUUGGGCCAACGAUGUCCAGUCCUGGGUCAAUGUCCGGCCUUGGGUCAAUGUCCGGUCUUGACCCCUUGUGGUCAUCUCGAGGGAAAACGGCGACAUCCCUUGGGCCGUUGACCUUUCUUGACCCAACGAUGGCCGGUCUUGGGUCAAUGACCACUCUUGACCCAACGAUGACCGGUCUUGGGUCAAUGUUUGGUUUUGACCCCUUGGGGUCAUCUCAAGGGACAACGGCGACGUCCCUUGGGUCGUUGACCCUUCUUGACCCAACGAUGACCGGUCUUGACCCAACGGUGACCGGUCCUGGGUCAAUGUCCGGCCCUGACCCCUGGGGGUCAUCUCAAGGGACAACGGCGACGUCCCUUGGGCCGUUGACCCUUCUUGACCCAACGAUG